UACAGAGGUCUCAAGCGUUGUUCGGAUUCAUUGGGCGUAAAGGGUGCGUAGGCGGCGCGGUAAGUUAGGUGUGAAAGUCCCGGGCUUAACCUGGGGAUUGCGCCUAAUACUGUGUAGCUAGAGUACUGUAGAGGAAGGUGGAAUUUCCGGUGUAGCGGUGAAAUGCGUAGAUAUCGGAAGGAACAUCAGUGGCGAAGGCGACCUUCUGGACAGAUACUGACACUGAGGCACGAAAGCGUGGGGAGCAAACAGG
rnacentral:rRNA from 1 species